rnacentral:rRNA from 1 species
GAUGAACGCUGGCGGCGUGCCUAAUACAUGCAAGUCGAGCGAACGGACGAGAAGCUUGCUUCUCUGAUGUUAGCGGCGGACGGGUGAGUAACACGUGGAUAACCUACCUAUAAGACUGGGAUAACUUCGGGAAACCGGAGCUAAUACCGGAUGAUAUUUUGAACCGCAUGGUUCAAAAGUGAAAGACGGUCUUGCUGUCACUUAUAGAUGGAUCCGCGCUGCAUUAGCUAGUUGGUAAGGUAACGGCUUACCAAGGCAACGAUGCAUAGCCGACCUGAGAGGGUGAUCGGCCACCCUGGAACUGAGACACGGUCCAGACUCCUACGGGAGGCAGCAGUAGGGAAUCUUCCGCAAUGGGCGAAAGCCUGACGGAGCGACGCCGCGUGAGUGAUGAAGGUCUUCGGAUCGUAAAACUCUGUUAUUAGGGAAGAACAUAUGUGUAAGUAACUGUGAACAUCUUGACGGUACCUAAUCAGAAAGCCACGGCUAACUACGUG